AUUGAACGCUGGCGGCAUGCCUAACACAUGCAAGUCGAACGGGGGUAGCGAUACCCUAGUGGCGGACGGGUGAGGAACGCGUAGGAAUUGGCCCACGAGUGGGGGACAACCUGGGGAAACCCAGGCUAAUACCGCAUACGCUCGCGAGAGGAAAGCGGGGGAUCUACGGACCUCGCGCUGGUGGACAAGCCUACGUCCGAUUAGCUAGUUGGCAGGGUAAAAGCCUACCAAGGCGACGAUCGGUAGCUGGUCUGAGAGGAUGAUCAGCCACACUGGGACUGAGACACGGCCCAGACUCCUACGGGAGGCAGCAGUGGGGAAUAUUGGACAAUGGGCGCAAGCCUGAUCCAGCAAUGCCGCGUGGGUGAAGACGGCCUGCGGGUUGUAAAGCCCUUUAAGCGGGGAGGAACGCCGGAACGCGAAUACCGUUUCGGACUGACGUUACCCGCAGAAUAAGCACCGGCUAACUCCGUGCCAGCAGCCGCGGUAAU
rnacentral:rRNA from 1 species